ACGUAGGGGGCUAGCGUUAUCCGGAUUCAUUGGGCGUAAAGCGCGCGUAGGCGGCCGCGCAGGCGGGGGGUCAAAUGCCGGGGCUCAACCCCGGCCCGCCCCCCGAACCGCGCGGCUUGGGUCCGGCAGGGGAGGGUGGAACGCCCGGUGUAGCGGUGGAAUGCGCAGAUAUCGGGCGGAACACCGGUGGCGAAGGCGGCCCUCUGGGCCGGCACCGACGCUGAGGCGCGAGAGCCGGGGGAGCGAACAG
rnacentral:rRNA from 1 species